ensembl:lncRNA
GGGUUCCCAUGCUGCUCUGCCCGUUCCUGCCCAGCAGCUCCUCCAGAACACUCCUCACAGGAUUGCUGCAGCCUGGGAGGGCAGAGCUGCUCCUCUGGGCGCUCUGCUCUGUGGAGGCCGUGUCCUCUCAGACCUGCUGCACUCUGAAUAUAAACCCCCCUUUGUUGGGCACGGGGUGACUUGGCUGAGCCACAUGAUCAGUCAGGUGACAAAAUUGGGCACCAAAGCGGAGCAGAAUGAGCAGCUGGGUGAGGGCAGGAGCUGCUGAUCUCGCCUCUUGACAGGCUGUGUUACUCCUCAGGGAAAAAUGAGUGCCUGGCUCUGUCCUCUGCUGUGCAGCUUAACCAUGGUGUGCUUAACAGGUAUUGCUUUAGGCCAGACAACCAGCACUGGGGUUCCCAUUGGAUCCACCCCAGCACCUCCCAGUACAACCAGCACUGGGGUUCCCAAUACAACCAGCACUGGGGUUCCCAUUGGAUCCACCCCAGCACCUCCCAGUACAACCAGCACUGGGGUUCCCAAUACAACCAGCACUGGGGUUCCCAUUGGAUCCACCCCAGCACCUCCCAGUACAGCCCCUGCUCCAGCCUCUGCUCCCCCAGCUGCUGCUGCAACACUCUCAGCUGGGCUGACAGCAACCACUGCAGGCCCUGCUGCAUCCACAGCAGCUCCAUCUGCUGAUCCAAGCACAAAAACCCCUGCCCAGACUCUGCCCUCCACCACGGGGACUGUCCCCACCUCUCAGACUUCAGCACUGGCAGCCACAUCCAGCAGUGUCCCAGCGUCCCCUCCAGGAGUGACCCCAUCCCCUGGGCUCCCAUCAUCAGCUCUGCCCCCCAGCACCCCCCAGCCCUCCAACUGCAGCACAGAGAACGUGACAGCCUGUUUCCCCUGCCCCCCAGGGACAGCCCCCACACAAGGCAUCCUGAGCUGCUCGUGCUGCCCGGGGGGAGCGUGCAGCGACCCCNNNNNNNNNNNNNNNNNNNNNNNNNCCAGAGGGGGCAGCGCUCCUGCCUGCCCUGCCCUCAAGGCUCCUACACCAGCCUCCCAAGGAGCUCUGUGUGCCUUCCCUGCCCACCAGGACAUUUUGCUAAUGAGUCUGGGGCUGCAGCCUGCAGGGCCUGUGAGCGAGGCUAUUAUAGCUCCAAGCAAAAUGCAGCUUUUUGUCUGCCUUGCCAGCCAGGAUCCUUCUGCAACACCAGCGGCUGCUCCGGCUGCCGGCCCUGCCCUGGGGGACAGGAGGCGCCUCGGGAGGCGGCGGAGACGUGUGAGACCUGCCCGGCAGAGCCCGGAUGUGAAGCCAGUGAAGUGCCCCCCUGAUGCCUUCUGCCCGCGGGGCAGCGUGGAGCCCACCUACUGCAUGGAGCUGUUCCUGUACAAGGCAGGGGACUCCUGCCAGCUGACCCCUGCCACCGUCAUUGUCCUGGCCACCUUCUCAGCAGGUGGAAUCCUUGUUGUGUUUCUGAUCAUCCUGAGGAGCCGACAGGAGCACGGCAGGAGCUCCCUGAAGUCGCCGCUGCUGCCCCGGGGCUCAGGGCUGGGCUCCUACGGGGGCACGGAGCACACGGAGCCCGUCUAUGCGGGCUGGUAG